AGCGUACACGGUGGAUGCCCUGGCAGUCAGAGGCGAUGAAGGACGUGCUAAUCUGCGAUAAGCGUCGGUAAGGUGAUAUGAACCGUUAUAACCGGCGAUUUCCGAAUGGGGAAACCCAGUGUGUUUCGACACACUAUCAUUAACUGAAUCCAUAGGUUAAUGAGGCGAACCGGGGGAACUGAAACAUCUAAGUACCCCGAGGAAAAGAAAUCAACCGAGAUUCCCCCAGUAGCGGCGAGCGAACGGGGAGGAGCCCAGAGCCUGAAUCAGUGUGUGUGUUAGUGGAAGCGUCUGGAAAGGCGCGCGAUACAGGGUGACAGCCCCGUACACAAAAAUGCACAUACUGUGAGCUCGAUGAGUAGGGCGGGACACGUGGUAUCCUGUCUGAAUAUGGGGGGACCAUCCUCCAAGGCUAAAUACUCCUGACUGACCGAUAGUGAACCAGUACCGUGAGGGAAAGGCGAAAAGAACCCCGGCGAGGGGAGUGAAAAAGAACCUGAAACCGUGUACGUACAAGCAGUGGGAGCACGCUUCGGCGUGUGACUGCGUACCUUUUGUAUAAUGGGUCAGCGACUUAUAUUCUGUAGCAAGGUUAACCGAAUAGGGGAGCCGAAGGGAAACCGAGUCUUAACUGGGCGUUAAGUUGCAGGGUAUAGACCCGAAACCCGGUGAUCUAGCCAUGGGCAGGUUGAAGGUUGGGUAACACUAACUGGAGGACCGAACCGACUAAUGUUGAAAAAUUAGCGGAUGACUUGUGGCUGGGGGUGAAAGGCCAAUCAAACCGGGAGAUAGCUGGUUCUCCCCGAAAGCUAUUUAGGUAGCGCCUCGUGAAUUCAUCUCCGGGGGUAGAGCACUGUUUCGGCAAGGGGGUCAUCCCGACUUACCAACCCGAUGCAAACUGCGAAUACCGGAGAAUGUUAUCACGGGAGACACACGGCGGGUGCUAACGUCCGUCGUGAAGAGGGAAACAACCCAGACCGCCAGCUAAGGUCCCAAAGUCAUGGUUAAGUGGGAAACGAUGUGGGAAGGCCCAGACAGCCAGGAUGUUGGCUUAGAAGCAGCCAUCAUUUAAAGAAAGCGUAAUAGCUCACUGGUCGAGUCGGCCUGCGCGGAAGAUGUAACGGGGCUAAACCAUGCACCGAAGCUGCGGCAGCGACACUAUGUGUUGUUGGGUAGGGGAGCGUUCUGUAAGCCUGUGAAGGUGUACUGUGAGGUAUGCUGGAGGUAUCAGAAGUGCGAAUGCUGACAUAAGUAACGAUAAAGCGGGUGAAAAGCCCGCUCGCCGGAAGACCAAGGGUUCCUGUCCAACGUUAAUCGGGGCAGGGUGAGUCGACCCCUAAGGCGAGGCCGAAAGGCGUAGUCGAUGGGAAACAGGUUAAUAUUCCUGUACUUGGUGUUACUGCGAAGGGGGGACGGAGAAGGCUAUGUUGGCCGGGCGACGGUUGUCCCGGUUUAAGCGUGUAGGCUGGUUUUCCAGGCAAAUCCGGAAAAUCAAGGCUGAGGCGUGAUGACGAGGCACUACGGUGCUGAAGCAACAAAUGCCCUGCUUCCAGGAAAAGCCUCUAAGCAUCAGGUAACAUUAAAUCGUACCCCAAACCGACACAGGUGGUCAGGUAGAGAAUACCAAGGCGCUUGAGAGAACUCGGGUGAAGGAACUAGGCAAAAUGGUGCCGUAACUUCGGGAGAAGGCACGCUGAUAUGUAGGUGAAGUCCCUCGCGGAUGGAGCUGAAAUCAGUCGAAGAUACCAGCUGGCUGCAACUGUUUAUUAAAAACACAGCACUGUGCAAACACGAAAGUGGACGUAUACGGUGUGACGCCUGCCCGGUGCCGGAAGGUUAAUUGAUGGGGUUAGCGGUAACGCGAAGCUCUUGAUCGAAGCCCCGGUAAACGGCGGCCGUAACUAUAACGGUCCUAAGGUAGCGAAAUUCCUUGUCGGGUAAGUUCCGACCUGCACGAAUGGCGUAAUGAUGGCCAGGCUGUCUCCACCCGAGACUCAGUGAAAUUGAACUCGCUGUGAAGAUGCAGUGUACCCGCGGCAAGACGGAAAGACCCCGUGAACCUUUACUAUAGCUUGACACUGAACAUUGAGCCUUGAUGUGUAGGAUAGGUGGGAGGCUUUGAAGUGUGGACGCCAGUCUGCAUGGAGCCGACCUUGAAAUACCACCCUUUAAUGUUUGAUGUUCUAACGUUGACCCGUAAUCCGGGUUGCGGACAGUGUCUGGUGGGUAGUUUGACUGGGGCGGUCUCCUCCUAAAGAGUAACGGAGGAGCACGAAGGUUGGCUAAUCCUGGUCGGACAUCAGGAGGUUAGUGCAAUGGCAUAAGCCAGCUUGACUGCGAGCGUGACGGCGCGAGCAGGUGCGAAAGCAGGUCAUAGUGAUCCGGUGGUUCUGAAUGGAAGGGCCAUCGCUCAACGGAUAAAAGGUACUCCGGGGAUAACAGGCUGAUACCGCCCAAGAGUUCAUAUCGACGGCGGUGUUUGGCACCUCGAUGUCGGCUCAUCACAUCCUGGGGCUGAAGUAGGUCCCAAGGGUAUGGCUGUUCGCCAUUUAAAGUGGUACGCGAGCUGGGUUUAGAACGUCGUGAGACAGUUCGGUCCCUAUCUGCCGUGGGCGCUGGAGAACUGAGGGGGGCUGCUCCUAGUACGAGAGGACCGGAGUGGACGCAUCACUGGUGUUCGGGUUGUCAUGCCAAUGGCACUGCCCGGUAGCUAAAUGCGGAAGAGAUAAGUGCUGAAAGCAUCUAAGCACGAAACUUGCCCCGAGAUGAGUUCU
rnacentral:rRNA from 1 species